UUGUACGGUGCUUCUGUAAUGCCCUGACCAAG
rnacentral:scRNA from 1 species